rnacentral:sRNA from 1 species
GUGAGGGAGAGGGUGACUAGUGACAGAGGGAGAGGGGGACUAGUGACAGAGUGAGGGAGGGAGUGACUAGUGACAGAGGGAGGGAUGGGGUGACACAGUGACAGAGGGAGGGGGUGACUGGUGACAGAGUGAGGGAGGGAGUAACUAGUGACAGAGGGAGGGAUGGCGUGACUAGUGACAGUCACCAUCUCCCUCCCUCUGUCACUAGUCACCAUCUCCCUCCCUCUGUCACUAGUCACCCCCUCCCUCACUAGUCAUCCCCCCACCCCCUCACUCUGUCACUGGUCACCCAUUCCCUCCCUCACUCUGUCACUAAUCAUCCCCUCACUCUGUCACUAGUCACCCUCUCCCUCAC